rnacentral:rRNA from 1 species
GACGAACGCUGGCGGCGUGCUUAACACAUGCAAGUCGAGCGGUAAGGCCCUUUCGGGGGUACACGAGCGGCGAACGGGUGAGUAACACGUGGGCGACCUGCCCUUAGUUCUGGGAUAAGCCUGGGAAACUGGGUCUAAUACCGGAUAUGACUCCAUGACGCAUGUUGUGGGGUGGAAAGCCUUGUGCGGCUAGGGAUGGGCCCGCGGCCUAUCAGCUUGUUGGUGGGGUGAUGGCCUACCAAGGCGACGACGGGUAGCCGGCCUGAGAGGGCGACCGGCCACACUGGGACUGAGACACGGCCCAGACUCCUACGGGAGGCAGCAGUGGGGAAGUCUUGCGCAAUGGGCGAAAGCCUGACGCAGCGACGCCGCGUGAGGGAUGACGGCCUC